rnacentral:rRNA from 1 species
UUUAUGAGGUCCGCUUGCUCUCGC